rnacentral:rRNA from 1 species
AUUGAACGCUAGCGGGAUGCUUUACACAUGCAAGUCGAACGAGUGGCGGACGGGUGAGUAAUAUAUCGGAACGUGCCCAGAAGCGGGGGAUAACUACUCGAAAGAGUGGCUAAUACCGCAUACUUUUGGAGCGGCCGAUAUCGGAUUAGCUAGUUGGGGGGGUAAAGGCUCCCCAAGGCAACGAACCGUAGCUGGUUUGAGAGGUGGACCAGCCACACUGGGAAUGAGACACGGCCCAGACUCCUACGGGAGGUAGCAGUGUGGAAUUUUGGACAAUGGGGGAAACCCUGAUCCAGCCAUCCCGCGUGUAUGAGAAGGCCUUCGGGUUGUAAAGUACUUUUGGCAGAGAAGCGGUAUCUGCAGAAUAAGCACCGGCUAACUACGUGCCAGCAGCCGCGGUAAUUC